rnacentral:lncRNA from 1 species
UUAAUCCCUGUCCAGUCAAGUUGAUCCCUGUCUAGUCAAGUUGACCAUUGUCUAGUGGAGUUGAUCCCUUUCCAGUCAGGCUUUUGUUAAAAGUUAGUACAUCAUACAUGAACUAUCAUAGGCACUUGACUCAGAAAAAAAAUCCAAUAUACCUUAAAAUAACACAAGGUACUUAACUCAAAUUUUUGAAAAAUUUCACCUGGUUGUGAAAUUCCGUUAUAUUUCAAUUUCUCGGUUGUCAAUCUCACUAAAAUCUGUUAUGCCUUAAAUAUAAAUGGAUUUAUCUACACAAUGAUGUAUAACACGCCUACCUUUGUUGUCUGAAUCAUUUUGAGCAGGCCUACCCAAGUAUAUCAACUGUAAUUAUUUCGUCUACCAACACCCGA